ACUAAGCGUACACGGUGGAUGCCCUGGCAGUCAGAGGCGAUGAAGGACGUGCUAAUCUGCGAUAAGCGUCGGUAAGGUGAUAUGAACCGUUAUAACCGGCGAUUUCCGAAUGGGGAAACCCAGUGUGUUUCGACACACUAUCAUUAACUGAAUCCAUAGGUUAAUGAGGCGAACCGGGGGAACUGAAACAUCUAAGUACCCCGAGGAAAAGAAAUCAACCGAGAUUCCCCCAGUAGCGGCGAGCGAACGGGGAGCAGCCCAGAGCCUGAAUCAGUGUGUGUGUUAGUGGAAGCGUCUGGAAAGGCGCGCGAUACAGGGUGACAGCCCCGUACACAAAAAUGCACAUGCUGUGAGCUCGAUGAGUAGGGCGGGACACGUGGUAUCCUGUCUGAAUAUGGGGGGACCAUCCUCCAAGGCUAAAUACUCCUGACUGACCGAUAGUGAACCAGUACCGUGAGGGAAAGGCGAAAAGAACCCCGGCGAGGGGAGUGAAAAAGAACCUGAAACCGUGUACGUACAAGCAGUGGGAGCCUCUUUUAUGGGGUGACUGCGUACCUUUUGUAUAAUGGGUCAGCGACUUAUAUUCUGUAGCAAGGUUAACCGAAUAGGGGAGCCGAAGGGAAACCGAGUCUUAACUGGGCGUUAAGUUGCAGGGUAUAGACCCGAAACCCGGUGAUCUAGCCAUGGGCAGGUUGAAGGUUGGGUAACACUAACUGGAGGACCGAACCGACUAAUGUUGAAAAAUUAGCGGAUGACUUGUGGCUGGGGGUGAAAGGCCAAUCAAACCGGGAGAUAGCUGGUUCUCCCCGAAAGCUAUUUAGGUAGCGCCUCGUGAAUUCAUCUCCGGGGGUAGAGCACUGUUUCGGCAAGGGGGUCAUCCCGACUUACCAACCCGAUGCAAACUGCGAAUACCGGAGAAUGUUAUCACGGGAGACACACGGCGGGUGCUAACGUCCGUCGUGAAGAGGGAAACAACCCAGACCGCCAGCUAAGGUCCCAAAGUCAUGGUUAAGUGGGAAACGAUGUGGGAAGGCCCAGACAGCCAGGAUGUUGGCUUAGAAGCAGCCAUCAUUUAAAGAAAGCGUAAUAGCUCACUGGUCGAGUCGGCCUGCGCGGAAGAUGUAACGGGGCUAAACCAUGCACCGAAGCUGCGGCAGCGACGCUUAUGCGUUGUUGGGUAGGGGAGCGUUCUGUAAGCCUGUGAAGGUGUGCUGUGAGGCAUGCUGGAGGUAUCAGAAGUGCGAAUGCUGACAUAAGUAACGAUAAAGCGGGUGAAAAGCCCGCUCGCCGGAAGACCAAGGGUUCCUGUCCAACGUUAAUCGGGGCAGGGUGAGUCGACCCCUAAGGCGAGGCCGAAAGGCGUAGUCGAUGGGAAACAGGUUAAUAUUCCUGUACUUGGUGUUACUGCGAAGGGGGGACGGAGAAGGCUAUGUUGGCCGGGCGACGGUUGUCCCGGUUUAAGCGUGUAGGCUGGUUUUCCAGGCAAAUCCGGAAAAUCAAGGCUGAGGCGUGAUGACGAGGCACUACGGUGCUGAAGCAACAAAUGCCCUGCUUCCAGGAAAAGCCUCUAAGCAUCAGGUAACAUCAAAUCGUACCCCAAACCGACACAGGUGGUCAGGUAGAGAAUACCAAGGCGCUUGAGAGAACUCGGGUGAAGGAACUAGGCAAAAUGGUGCCGUAACUUCGGGAGAAGGCACGCUGAUAUGUAGGUGAAGCGACUUGCUCGUGGAGCUGAAAUCAGUCGAAGAUACCAGCUGGCUGCAACUGUUUAUUAAAAACACAGCACUGUGCAAACACGAAAGUGGACGUAUACGGUGUGACGCCUGCCCGGUGCCGGAAGGUUAAUUGAUGGGGUCAGCGCAAGCGAAGCUCUUGAUCGAAGCCCCGGUAAACGGCGGCCGUAACUAUAACGGUCCUAAGGUAGCGAAAUUCCUUGUCGGGUAAGUUCCGACCUGCACGAAUGGCGUAAUGAUGGCCAGGCUGUCUCCACCCGAGACUCAGUGAAAUUGAACUCGCUGUGAAGAUGCAGUGUACCCGCGGCAAGACGGAAAGACCCCGUGAACCUUUACUAUAGCUUGACACUGAACAUUGAGCCUUGAUGUGUAGGAUAGGUGGGAGGCUUGAAGUGUGGACGCCAGUCUGCAUGGAGCCGACCUUGAAAUACCACCCUUUAAUGUUUGAUGUUCUAACGUUGACCCGUAAUCCGGGUUGCGGACAGUGUCUGGUGGGUAGUUUGACUGGGGCGGUCUCCUCCUAAAGAGUAACGGAGGAGCACGAAGGUUGGCUAAUCCUGGUCGGACAUCAGGAGGUUAGUGCAAUGGCAUAAGCCAGCUUGACUGCGAGCGUGACGGCGCGAGCAGGUGCGAAAGCAGGUCAUAGUGAUCCGGUGGUUCUGAAUGGAAGGGCCAUCGCUCAACGGAUAAAAGGUACUCCGGGGAUAACAGGCUGAUACCGCCCAAGAGUUCAUAUCGACGGCGGUGUUUGGCACCUCGAUGUCGGCUCAUCACAUCCUGGGGCUGAAGUAGGUCCCAAGGGUAUGGCUGUUCGCCAUUUAAAGUGGUACGCGAGCUGGGUUUAGAACGUCGUGAGACAGUUCGGUCCCUAUCUGCCGUGGGCGCUGGAGAACUGAGGGGGGCUGCUCCUAGUACGAGAGGACCGGAGUGGACGCAUCACUGGUGUUCGGGUUGUCAUGCCAAUGGCACUGCCCGGUAGCUAAAUGCGGAAGAGAUAAGUGCUGAAAGCAUCUAAGCACGAAACUUGCCCCGAGAUGAGUUCUCCCUGACUCCUUGAGAGUCCUGAAGGAACGUUGAAGACGACGACGUUGAUAGGCCGGGUGUGUAAGCGCAGCGAUGCGUUGAGCUAACCGGUACUAAUGAACCGUGAGGCUUAACC
rnacentral:rRNA from 1 species